rnacentral:rRNA from 1 species
UACGGGAGGCAGCAGUGGGGAAUAUUGGACAAUGGGCGCAAGCCUGAUCCAGCCAUGCCGCGUGAGUGAUGAAGGCCCUAGGGUUGUAAAGCUCUUUCGCCAGGGCCGAUAAUGACGGUACCUUGAUAAGAAGCACCGGCUAACUACGUGCCAGCAGCCGCGGUAAUACGUAGGGUGCGAGCGUUAAUCGGAAUUACUGGGCGUAAAGCGAGCGCAGGCGGUUUUGUAAGUCAGAUGUGAAAUCCCCGGGCUCAACCUGGGAACUGCGUUUGAAACUGCAAGGCUAGAGUGUGUCAGAGGGAGGUAGAAUUCCACGUGUAGCAGUGAAAUGCGUAGAGAUGUGGAGGAACACCGAUGGCGAAGGCAGCCUCCUGGGAUAACACUGACGCUCAUGCUCGAAAGCGUGGGGAGCAAACAGGAUUAGAUACCCUGGUAGUCCACGCCCUAAACGAUGUCUACUAGUUGUUGGAGGAGUGAAAUCCUUUAGUAACGCAGCUAACGCGUGAAGUAGACCGCCUGGGGAGUACGGUCGCAAGAUUAAAACUCAAAGGAAUUGACGGGGA